CGAAGCCUGACGGAGCAAUACCGCGUGAGGGAAGAAGGCUUUUGGGUUGUAAACCUCUUUUGUCAGGGAAGAAGAAUUGACGGUACCUGAAGAAAAAGCAUCGGCUAACUCCGUGCCAGCAGCCGCGGUAAUACGGAGGAUGCAAGCGUUAUCCGGAAUCAUUGGGCGUAAAGGGUCCGCAGGUGGCGAAUAAAGUCUGCUGUUAAAGACCGGGGCUUAACUCCGGAAAGGCAGUGGAAACUGAUUAGCUAGAGUACGGUAGGGGUAGAGGGAAUUCCCAGUGUAGCGGUGAAAUGCGUAGAUAUUGGGAAGAACACCGGUGGCGAAAGCGCUCUACUAGGCCGAAACUGACACUGAGGGACGAAAGCUAGGGUAGCGAAAGGGAUUAGAUACCCCUGUAGUCUUAGCGGUAAACGAUGGAUACUAGGUGUAGCUUGUAUCGACCCGAGCUGUGCCGAAGCUAACGCGAUAAGUAUCCCGCCUGGGGAGUACGCACGCAAGUGUGAAACUCAAAGGAAUUGACGGGGGCCCGCACAAGCGGUGGAGUAUGUGGUUUAAUUCGAUGCAACGCGAAGAACCUUACCAGGGCUUGACAUGUCGCGAAUCUAGCGGAAACGUUAGAGUGCCUUAGGGAAUGCGAACACAGGUGGUGCAUGGCUGUCGUCAGCUCGUGUCGUGAGAUGUUGGGUUAAGUCCCGCAACGAGCGCAACCCUCGUCCUUAGUUGCCGAUAUUAAGUUAGGCACUCUAGGGAGACUGCCGGGGACUACUCGGAGGAAGGUGGGGAUGACGUCAAGUCAGCAUGCCCCUUACGUCCUGGGCGACACACGUACUACAAUGGUUGGGACAAAGGGCAGCAAGCUCGCGAGAGUAGCGAAUCUCAUCAAACCCAGCCACAGUUCAGAUUGCAGGCUGCAACUCGCCUGCAUGAAGUAGGAAUCGCUAGUAAUCGCAGGUCAGCAUACUGCGGUGAAUUCGUUCCCGGGCCUUGUACACACCGCCCGUCACACCAUGGAAGCUGGCUACGCCCGAAGUCGUUACCCUAACCCGGUUUUGGGAGGGGGAUGCCGAAGGUAGAGCUAGUGACUGGGGUGAAGUCGUAACAAGGUAGCCGUACCGGAAGGUGUGGCCGGAUCACCUCCUUUACAGGGAGACCUAGUCUAAUUACCAAUAGAUGAAAAAGUUGGUAAUUCGCAAGAAUCCUUAGGUCGUGAAGGGAGCAAGAAAAAACUUUCAAACUGUAAUGGGUGAGGGUACUCGGGCUAUUAGCUCAGGUGGUUAGAGCGCACCCCUGAUAAGGGUGAGGUCCCUGGUUCAAGUCCAGGAUGGCCCACCUGAAAUACACAGGCACCCUGCCUGUGCCACAAAAAAGGGAAAAAAUUUUAGCAUUGUCUCUUGUAAUCAAGAGCAAGAGAUAAUGCUGGAAUAGAUUCCAGCAAGAACCUUGAAAACUGCAUAGAACUAGAAAGAAAAAGUCAGGUAGAAAAUCCUACAAGCUAGAGCUAGAAAGAGCAAAAGGU
rnacentral:misc_RNA from 1 species